rnacentral:tRNA from 4 species
GCCGCCGUGCUGGAACUGGUAUACAGGAUGGUCUCAAAAACCAUUGGGAGUGAUCCCAUGUCGGUUCAACUCCGACCGGCGGCACGA